rnacentral:rRNA from 1 species
UUGGGUAGGGGAGCGUUCUGUAAGCCUGUGAAGGUGUGUCGUGAGGCAUGCUGGAGGUAUCAGAAGUGCGAAUGCUGACAUAAGUAACGAUAAAGCGGGUGAAAAGCCCGCUCGCCGGAAGACCAAGGGUUCCUGUCCAACGUUAAUCGGGGCAGGGUGAGUCGACCCCUAAGGCGAGGCCGAAAGGCGUAGUCGAUGGGAAACGGGUUAAUAUUCCCGUACUUGGUGUUACUGCGAAGGGGGGACGGAGAAGGCUAUGUUGGCCGGGCGACGGUUGUCCCGGUUUAAGCGUGUAGGUGUGUGUUCCAGGUAAAUCCGGUUCACUUUAACACUGAGGCGUGACGACGAGGCACUACGGUGCUGAAGCAACAAAUGCCCUGCUUCCAGGAAAAGCCUCUAAGCAUCAGGUAACAUCAAAUCGUACCCCAAACCGACACAGGUGGUCAGGUAGAGAAUACCAAGGCGCUUGAGAGAACUCGGGUGAAGGAACUAGGCAAAAUGGUGCCGUAACUUCGGGAGAAGGCACGCUGACACGUAGGUGAAGUGAUUUACUCAUGGAGCUGAAGUCAGUCGAAGAUACCAGCUGGCUGCAACUGUUUAUUAAAAACACAGCACUGUGCAAACACGAAAGUGGACGUAUACGGUGUGACGCCUGCCCGGUGCCGGAAGGUUAAUUGAUGGGGUCAGCGCAAGCGAAGCUCCUGAUCGAAGCCCCGGUAAACGGCGGCCGUAACUAUAACGGUCCUAAGGUAGCGAAAUUCCUUGUCGGGUAAGUUCCGACCUGCACGAAUGGCGUAAUGAUGGCCAGGCUGUCUCCACCCGAGACUCAGUGAAAUUGAACUCGCUGUGAAGAUGCAGUGUACCCGCGGCAAGACGGAAAGACCCCGUGAACCUUUACUAUAGCUUGACACUGAACAUUGAGCCUUGAUGUGUAGGAUAGGUGGGAGGCUUUGAAGUGUGGACGCCAGUCUGCAUGGAGCCGACCUUGAAAUACCACCCUUUAAUGUUUGAUGUUCUAACGUGGACCCGUAAUCCGGGUUGCGGACAGUGUCUGGUGGGUAGUUUGACUGGGGCGGUCUCCUCCUAAAGAGUAACGGAGGAGCACGAAGGUUGGCUAAUCCUGGUCGGACAUCAGGAGGUUAGUGCAAUGGCAUAAGCCAGCUUGACUGCGAGCGUGACGGCGCGAGCAGGUGCGAAAG